rnacentral:tRNA from 1 species
GGGGUUGUGGCUCAGCGGUAGAGCGCUCGCCCAGCACGUGUGAGGCCCUGGGUUCGAUCCUCAGCACCACA